CACGCCUCAGGGACGCCGUGGAGGGGCGGAGCCGGGACACAGCAUCGGCGGGGGUUUUAAAAGGGGGCCAGGAAGGCUCCUUGGGGCAGGAGGCAGAUGGAGGCCGGGACCCGGGCAAGAAGGAGGAGCCGGGUCACCCAGAAGCACUUCAGGCAGGGCAUCCAGACAGCACUCACGUCCCAUGGCUGCUGCCUGUGGCUAUCUGAGGCUCGUGCUUAAAGGGACCCCCACUGUACAGCAGUGUCUCAGGUGAUGCGGGCCAUCAACACUGUUCUGCCACACAGGGUCAUCAACUUCAGCAAUGUGGGUGCCAUCGUCGCCAGCUUUGCUAACAUGGGCUUCCCCAUCAGCAGGGAUGCUGUUGAUGGCACCCACAUCCCCAUCUGUGCCCCCGAGCACUG